UUAGUCCUACGGGAGGCAGCAGUGGGGAAUAUUGCACAAUGGGCGAAAGCCUGAUGCAGCAACGCCGCGUGAAGGAAGACGGUUUUCGGAUUGUAAACUUCUAUCAAUAGGGAAGAAAGAAAUGACGGUACCUGAGUAAGAAGCACCGGCUAAAUACGUGCCAGCAGCCGCGGUAAUACGUAUGGUGCAAGCGUUAUCCGGAUUUACUGGGUGUAAAGGGAGCGCAGGCGGUGCGGCAAGUCUGAUGUGAAAGCCCGGGGCUCAACCCCGGGACUGCAUUGGAAACUACCGAACUAGUGUGUCGG
rnacentral:rRNA from 1 species